AGUGAACGCUGGCGGUAGGCCUAACACAUGCAGGUCGAACGGCAGCACAGUAAGAGCUUGCUCUUACGGGUGGCGAGUGGCGGACGGGUGAGGAAUACAUCGGGAUCUACUUUUUCGUGGGGGAUAACGUAGGGAAACUUACGCUAAUACCGCAUACGACCUACGGGUGAAAGCAGGGGAUCUUCGGACCUUGCGCGAUUGAAUGAGCCGAUGUCGGAUUAGCUAGUUGGCGGGGUAAAGGCCCACCAAGGCGACGAUCCGUAGCUGGUCUGAGAGGAUGAUCAGCCACACUGGAACUGAGACACGGUCCAGACUCCUACGGGAGGCAGCAGUGGGGAAUAUUGGACAAUGGGCGCAAGCCUGAUCCAGCCAUACCGCGUGGGUGAAGAAGGCCUUCGGGUUGUAAAGCCCUUUUGUUGGGAAAGAAAAGCAGCAGGUUAAUACCCCGCUGUUCUGACGGUACCCAAAGAAUAAGCACCGGCUAACUUCGUG
rnacentral:rRNA from 1 species